rnacentral:tRNA from 1 species
GGCGCUAUAGCUCAGUCGGUAGAGCAAAGGACUGAAAAUCCUUGUGUCCCCGGUUCGAUUCCUGGUGGCGCCA